UACACUCCUACGGGAGGCAGCAGUGGGGAAUUUUGGACAAUGGGCGAAAGCCUGAUCCAGCAAUGCCGCGUGAGUGAAGAAGGCCUUCGGGUUGUAAAGCUCUUUUGUCAGGGAAGAAACGGUGAAAGCUAAUAUCUUUUGCUAAUGACGGUACCUGAAGAAUAAGCACCGGCUAACUACGUGCCAGCAGCCGCGGUAAUACGUAGGGUGCAAGCGUUAAUCGGAAUUACUGGGCGUAAAGCGUGCGCAGGCGGUUUUGUAAGUCUGAUGUGAAAUCCCCGGGCUCAACCUGGGAAUUGCAUUGGAGACUGCAAGGCUAGAAUCUGGCAGAGGGGGGUAGAAUUCCACGUGUAGCAGUGAAAUGCGUAGAUAUGUGGAGGAACACCGAUGGCGAAGGCAGCCCCCUGGGUCAAGAUUGACGCUCAUGCACGAAAGCGUGGGGAGCAAACAGGAUUAGAUACCCUGGUAGUCCCCAUGAU
rnacentral:rRNA from 1 species